CGGAGGUGCAAGCGUUAUCCGGAUUCACUGGGUUUAAAGGGUGCGUAGGUUGGAUUAGUAAGUCAGUGGUGAAAUCUCUGGGCUUAACUCAGAAACUGCCAUUGAUACUAUUAAUCUUGAAUACCGUGGAGGUCAGCGGAAUAUGUCAUGUAGCGGUGAAAUGCUUAGAUAUGACAUAGAACACCAAUUGCGAAGGCAGCUGGCUACACGAAUAUUGACACUGAGGCACGAAAGCGUGAGGAUCAAACAGGAUUAGAUACCCUGGUAGUUCACGCCCUAAACGAUGGAUACUCGACAUUUGCGAUAAACUGCAAGUGUCUGAGCGAAAGCAUUAAGUAUCCCACCUGGGAAGUACGAUCGCAAGAUUG
rnacentral:rRNA from 1 species